GAUGAACGCUGGCGGCGUGCCUAAUACAUGCAAGUCGAGCGAACAGACGAGGAGCUUGCUCCUCUGACGUUAGCGGCGGACGGGUGAGUAACACGUGGAUAACCUACCUAUAAGACUGGGAUAACUUCGGGAAACCGGAGCUAAUACCGGAUAAUAUAUUGAACCGCAUGGUUCAAUAAUGAAAGACAGUUUUGCUGUUACUUAUAGAUGGAUCCGCGCCGCAUUAGCUAGUUGGUAAGGUAACGGCUUACCAAGGCGACGAUGCGUAGCCGACCUGAGAGGGUGAUCGGCCACACUGGAACUGAGACACGGUCCAGACUCCUACGGGAGGCAGCAGUAGGGAAUCUUCCGCAAUGGGCGAAGUCCUGACGGAGCAACGCCGCGUGAGUGAUGAAGGUCUUCGGAUCGUAAAACUCUGUUAUUAGGGAAGAACAAAUGUGUAAGUAACUAUGCACGUCUUGACGGUACCUAAUCAGAAAGCCACGGCUAACUACGUG
rnacentral:rRNA from 1 species